rnacentral:rRNA from 1 species
ACCUUGAUCGAUAGGUCUGGGUAAUCUUGUGAAUGCGCAUCGUGCUAGGGAUAGACUGUUGCAAUUUUCAGUCUUGAACGAGGAAUUCCUAGUAAACGCAAGUCAUCAGCUUGCAUUGAUUACGUCCCUGCCCUUUGUACACACCGCCCGUCGCACCUACCGAUUGAAUGACUCGGUGAAAAAUUGGGACCGUGAGUCCGUUUGCUUUAUUGCGAGUGGAUUGAUGGGAACUUUUUUAAACCUCGCCAUUUAGAGGAAGGUGAAGUCGUAACAAGGUUUCCGUAGGUGAACCUGCGGAAGGAUCAUUACCACACCUAAAAAACUUUCCACGUGAACCGUAUCAACCCCUUAAAUUUGGGGGCUUGCUCGGCGGCGUGUGUGCUGGCCUGUAAUGGGUCGGCGUGCUGCUGCUGGGCGGGCUCUAUCAUGGGCGAGCGUUUGGGCUUCGGCUCGAGCUAGUAGCUAUCAAUUUUAAACCCUUUCUUAAAUACUGAACAUACUGUGGGGACGAAAGUCUCUGCUUUUAACUAGAUAGCAACUUUCAGCAGUGGAUGUCUAGGCUCGCACAUCGAUGAAGAACGCUGCGAACUGCGAUACGUAAUGCGAAUUGCAGGAUUCAGUGAGUCAUCGAAAUUUUGAACGCAUAUUGCACUUCCGGGUUAGUCCUGGGAGUAUGCCUGUAUCAGUGUCCGUACAUCAACCUUGGUUUUCUUCCUUCCGUGUAGUCGGUGGAGGAUAUGCCAGACGUGAAGWGUCUUGCUAGCGGUCUUUCGAGUCUGCCGGUGAGUCCUUUUAAAUGUACUGAACUGUACUCUCUCUUUGCGCGAAAAGCGUGGCGUUGCUGGUUGUGGAGGCUGCCCGUGUGGCCAGUCGGCGACCGGUUUGUUAGCUGUGGCGUUUGGAGGAGUGUUCGAUUCGCGGUAUGGUUGGCUUCGGCUGAACAAUCUGCUUAUUGGGUGCUUUUCCUGUCAUGGCGGUAUGAACUGGUGAACCGUAGCUGUGUGGUGCUUGGCUUUUGAACCGGCUUUGCUCUGCGAAGUAGUGUGCGGCUUCGGCUGUCGAGGGGUCGAUCCAUUUUGGGAAACUUUGUGUGUGCGGCUUCGU